AGUGGCAGACGGGUGAGUAACAUGUAGGUAUCUGCCCUUUGGCCUGGAAUAACACGAGGAAACUUGUGCUAAUACCGGAUAAGUCUUUACGGAGAAAGCUUUAUGCACCAUUGGAUGAGCCUGCACUUGAUUAGUUUGUUGGUGGGGUAAUGGCCUACCAAGACUGUGAUCAAUAGCUGAUUUGAGAGGAUGAUCAGCCACAUUGGGACUGAGACACGGCCCAAACUCCUACGGGAGGCAGCAGUGGGGAAUCUUGCACAACGGAGGAAACUCUGAUGCAGCGAUGCCGCGUGAGUGAAGAAGGCCUUUGGGUUGUAAAGCUCUUUCGUCGGGGAAGAAAAUGACUGUACCCGAAUAAGAAGGUCCGGCUAACUUCGCGCCGGCAGCCGCGGUAAUACGAAGGGACCUAGCGUAGUUCGGAAUUACUGGGCUUAAAGAGUUCGUAGGUGGUUGAAAAAGUUGGUGGUGAAAUCCCAGAGCUUAACUCUGGAACUGCCAUCAAAACUUUUCAGCUAGAGUAUGAUAGAGGAAAGCAGAAUUUCUAGUGUAGAGGUGAAAUUCGUAGAUAUUAGAAAGAAUACCAAUUGCGAAGGCAGCUUUCUGGAUCAUUACUGACACUGAGGAACGAAAGCAUGGGUAGCGAAGAGGAUUAGAUACCCUCGUAGUCCAUGCCGUAAACGAUGUGUGUUAGACGUUGGAAAUUUAUUUUCAGUGUCGCAGCGAAAGCGAUAAACACACCGC
rnacentral:rRNA from 1 species